rnacentral:rRNA from 1 species
AUGUCGCCCGUGCACGUCCCGGAGCUCAGCAGCGGCGGGUCGGGGUCGGGGUCGCUCACCCUGAACCCCGUGCAACGCGCGCUCACCCGGCUGUCGUCGUCGUCGGCCCUGACGCCCAGGUCGCCCCCGCCGUCCUACGGGAGCAUCGUCACCGUGCUCAGCAUCGACGGCGGCGGCGUCCGCGGCAUCAUCCCUGGAACCAUCCUCGCCUUCCUCGAAGAGAAGCUCCAGGAGCUCGAUGGGCCGGACGUGAGGAUCGCCGACUACUUCGACGUGAUCGCCGGGACGAGCACCGGGGGCCUGGUGACGGCCAUGCUCACGGCGCCCGACGCCAAAGGACGCCCGCUCUUCGCCGCCAAGGACAUCAACAACUUCUACCUGGAGCACUGCCCAAAGAUCUUCCCUGCCGUCUACGGCGGGCCCCUGGGCUUGCUCAGGAGCAUGAGGGGGCCUAAGUACGACGGCCAGUACCUCCACUCCGUCGUGAAAGAGCUCCUCGGCGAGAUGCGGGUCGGCGAGGCGCUGCAGAACAUAGUCAUCCCCACCUUCGACAUCAAGCUGCUCCAGCCCACCAUCUUCUCCAGAUACGACGCCCGGAACGACGUCUCCAAGAACGCUCUUCUGUCCGACGUCUGCAUCAGCACGUCGGCGGCACCUACUUACCUCCCCGGCCACCACUUCGAGACCAAGGACAAGGAUGGCAAGCCCCGGGCUUUCAAUCUCAUCGACGGAGGCGUUGCCGCAAACAAUCCGACAAUGUUGGCCAUGACGGACGUGAGCAAGCAGAUCCUGCUGGGCAACCAGGACUUCUUCCCGAUCAAGCCGGCCGACUACGGCAAGUUCAUGGUGCUCUCCCUCGGCACCGGCUCCGCCAAGGUGGAGGAGAAGUUCGACGCCGCCGCGUGCAGCAAGUGGGGGGUCCUCGGGUGGCUCUACAACCACGGCACCACGCCGCUCAUCGACAGCUUCAGCCAGGCCAGCGCCGACCUCGUCGACAUCCAGGCGUCCGUGCUCUUCCAGGCGCUGCGCUGCGAGAAGCGCUACCUCCGCAUCCAGGACGACGAGCUCAAGGGCGACACCUCCUCCGUCGACGUGUCCACGCCGGAGAACCUCAACAGGCUCGUCCAGGUCGGCAAGGCGCUGCUCAAGAGGAGCGUGUGCAGGGUGAACGUCGAGACGGGCAAGACCGUGCCCGACCACAAUAGAGGCACCAACGAGGAGGAGCUAGUCAGUUUCGCACGGAUGCUCUCACAGGAGCGCAAGGCCAGGUUGCAGAAGAAGGGAGUCAACGUCCCACAGUAA